GGCUCGAUGAUUAUAGCCCUUUUUGGGUAAUAUACGCUAUUCUGAUAUUUAUUUUCAAUAGGCUGAAACUCUUCCAUGAAUGAUAGCU